AUUUCAAGCAAUUCUUUUUUCACUUAUUUCUAUUUUGGCAGCAUGAAAACCCUAUAAAGUAUAAACCCUAGAUGUAAGUACCAAAAAUAUCAUAAUUUUCUUAUUCAUAUAAGUAUACUCUCUAAUUGCACUGUAAAAUGGCUUGAAUUGAAUUGAAGAUAAAGAAGAUAUUCAGUACAUGCAAGCACAUAAAAAUUGGUGGCAUUUUUGAGUUUUUCUUCCAAUGAUUUAAAGAUAUUGUGUUAAUUACAGUUUGUUCCUUAUGGCAAUUAUUCAAUGGCUAUAUCAAACUAUAUCAUCGUUAAUUUCAUUUAAGAAAAAAGUUAAUGAAUUUUGCAUACUUUGUAGUGUUAUUUAAUUGUGUAAAAAAAUUAUUUUAAUAUAAUUUGUAUCACUUUAAUAAAAAAUCAUAUUUUACCCUCAAUGAAUUACUAGUUAACGAUUUUACACUACUGUAAGUUAACGAAAUGAUAUUUUAAGCUAUUGUUUAAAAAAUAUGGAUGAAAUGAGCUAUUGCAUUAAACUCUAAGGAUGCAAAAAGGUUUUUUCUCCUUUUUUUUUUAUUACCUUGAAAGGCUAGCAAAUUCGUUUUCCAAAAUGGACACUAUUCUAUUCUUAUGUACAAUGAAGCUAGCAAUUGGGACUGCACAUGGGAGGUCAGUUCAAUGAUUGAUAAAAUUCUAAUCGGAACUCACCAAUUUUGAGUAAAAUAUAGAUAUAAAAGAAGCUGCAAGAAUCUGAUAUCUAAAAAAAAAAAUGUAGUAAAUUAAGAAAAAGUUUUAAAAAAAAGUAGUAAACAGAAAUAAAUAAAUAAAAGUAGAAACAGAACAACUUUUUUUUUGUCAAAUUUUUUAUUGCAAUUUGCUAAUAACUAUACCUGAAAAUAAGGACCUGGCUGCCCAUUAGCGGACAGGACUCGCCAUUAUAACAUGAUUACAUGAGGCUUUAACCUCUCACGGCAAUCGAAACAGCCCACACUCUUCCUUACUUUUGUUUAAUAAUAAAGAAUUGCUUGAAUUUAUAAGAUGAACACUUUUAAAAGCGUCCCAUGCUCCCCAUUUCCCCAAUUCUACAGUGAGAAAGGUCUCAAUUACGAUGGGAAAAAAAGGAAAAAAUAGAGAGAAAUCAGUGCUCCGUUGAUAUUUGCCCUUUCCAAGAUAUAUAGCUUAAAAUUGAGUUUCCCCUUAUUCCCUGCAAAUGUUAAACCAUAUCUCAGCCUCAGGCAAUGAGACCAGCAUUCUGUCUAUCUUCUUCUUCUUUAAAGUUUAAAACAAGUCUUUGAUAACUAUGUAAUGGGUAUUUAUCACUAACGUACCUUGAGGUUUGUAGUAUUAUCACUUAUUUUGUGAGCUUUGAAAGCUGCAGCGGACAGAUACUUCUCGCCAGUUAGAACAAUUACAGAAUUAUUGGAAAUUUUAGGCCUUUGUACAAUUUCAACGCCAAAAAUGUACAAUUUAAAUGUAAAUUUAAAGUACAAAGAUUCCCCUCAACCGAAUAUAGUGCAAAAUGGUGUUUUAUUUAAUCUCAUUUUGGGAAGGUUAGUUAAUAUGUUAGGCAUUUGGGUUUCGAGCAUCUAAAUCUCAAUUUGACCCCCAGUUAAUAUAAUUUUUUUUUAUUAGAUGGUAAUUAAGUAAUUUUAUAAGUUAUAAAAUUCAUCAUUCAAUAAAUGAGUGAUAUAUAAUAAUAAGAAUCAAGUUAAAACUCAAAUAUUAAAAUCUUUAAUAUUAUUAUAGUGAAAUAGUGAGGUAUGCGAAUGCUUAUGUUGGGUUUUAAUGAUUUUUAUCUAAAGGGUAAGUAAAUAAUUUACAUCAUUCAACUAAAUUUCAAUGUUUCAUGGCAAUAAAACAACUACAAAUACUCCCCCAAACUACUGUUGUUGAAUCGAAUUCAAUAAUUGUAUCAUCAUCAUUUUUUGCUUCUAUAUCCAUCUUGACCCUCACACGCACACACUUUGAUCACUGUUUUCAUACUCAAAGACAUCCAUUAAAUACGUGAAAGUGAUGUAGCAGAAGCAAGAGUCAAAGAACGGCAAUAGUGCAGUUACUAACCUAAGAAGAAUGAAGGAACAUGUGUGAUUGUGAUCCAUGAAUGUGGCAAUUUCAACCCGAUCGUGAUUCACAGUUGGACAAAUGGCGGCUAAGAAUGAUAAACGCAGUCACGAAGAUGGUGAAGCACGAUGAUUUGAUUUGAUGAAGAGAGAGGAAAUGAUUGGCUUUAACAGCUGCAAAUUUGAUGAAGAUAAGUGAUGAAAAUAAUAGCCUAUGAACUGUAAACUAGGGCAUUUGGAGUUUUUUUUUUCCAUAUAUAU
rnacentral:lncRNA from 1 species